rnacentral:rRNA from 1 species
UACGUAGGGGGCAAGCGUUGUCCGGAUUUAUUGGGCGUAAAGAGCGUGUAGGCGGUUAGGUAGGUCCGGUGUGAAAACUCGAGGCUCAACCUCGAGACGCCGAUGGAAACCCACUAACUAGAGGCCGGAAGAGGAGAGUGGAAUUCCUGGUGUAGCGGUGAAAUGCGCAGAUAUCAGGAAGAACACCCGUGGCUAAGGCGGCUCUCUAGUACGGUACUGACGCUGAGACGCGAAAGCGUGGGGAGCAAACAGG